GGGAAUAUGGUCCUCAAUAGUAUUUUUGAAUUUCAUUUUUAUUGUCAUGCAAAAUGCCCUUUGUGAAGAUUAAAUUUAACCCUCCCCUAAUUGUGAAAAUGAAAUUAAUGAACUCUCCCCAGAUUGUGAAGAUUAAAUUGUAACCCCUGCCUGUUUUUUAGAUUUAAUCACCAAAGGUGUAAACACCCCAUUUCAUACAUUAAGUGGGAGGUCUGUGACCCAUGUGUGAAAUUGUGGGUGAUGAAUCAAAAUCAACUGACUGUCCCUGGGCAGUCCUAAAAGCAAAAGCCUCAACUGUGAUUGGUGGAUGUAAAAAUUAGGGGAAGUGAUGCAAGAGAAAGUGCCUUUAAAAGGGAGUGACAACUUCCUGAGUGAAGUUUGACUUGGAACUCUCACUAGGAGUAGAACCUCCUAUGAGAGAGAGUUCUUCUGCAAGUUCUUCUGGCAGUUCUUUAUUCUAAAAGUGGAGGCUGGUAAAGAAUGUGAUGACUGGACCUGAGACCCUGUUCCUGGUGAGGCUGUUCUACUGACACGCACAGAGACACGAUGGACUAAAGGCACAAAAUGAGACAUAUAUUUUCUGACAGCGUUGAUCUUUUUUCCCUACUUUUCUAAACUUCCUUAUUACAAAGAAGGCCUUCUAUUUCUGCGGGCAAGAAAAGGAAGAAGGUUUGGGAAAGAAAAAUCACCUGGAAUAAUUUUUAUGGUACCCAACACAAAGCAAAGAAGGAAGGAAGACGUCUUGUUGAAUAAUGAUCUUGGUCUCUUCUUAUUGAGAAUCCUCAUGGCAUAG
rnacentral:lncRNA from 1 species